rnacentral:rRNA from 1 species
GACGAACGCUGGCGGCGUGCUUAACACAUGCAAGUCGAACGGAAAGGCCCUUCGGGGUACUCGAGUGGCGAACGGGUGAGUAACACGUGGGUGAUCUGCCCUGCACUUUGGGAUAAGCCUGGGAAACUGGGUCUAAUACCGGAUAGGACCACGGCAUUCAUGUGCUGUGGUGGAAAGCUUUUGCGGUGUGGGAUGGGCCCGCGGCCUAUCAGCUUGUUGGUGGGGUAAUGGCCUACCAAGGCGACGACGGGUAGCCGGCCUGAGAGGGUGACCGGCCACACUGGGACUGAGAUACGGCCCAGACUCCUACGGGAGGCAGCAGUGGGGAAUAUUGCACAAUGGGCGCAAGCCUGUUGCAGCGACGCCGCGUGAGGGAUGACGGCCUUCGGGUUGUAAACCUCUUUCGCCAGGGACGAAGCGCAAGUGACGGUACCUGGAGAAGAAGGACCGGCCAACUACGUG